rnacentral:rRNA from 1 species
UACGGAGGGUGCGAGCGUUGUCCGGAAUCACUGGGCGUAAAGGGCGCGUAGGUGGCGCGACCAGUCAACGGUGAAAGCUCGACGCUCAACGUCGAGUCGGCCGUCGAUACUGUCGGGCUGGAGCACUGUAGAGGCUCAUGGAAUUCCGGGUGUAGCGGUGGAAUGCGUAGAGAUCCGGAAGAACACCGGUGGCGAAGGCGGUGAGCUGGGCAGUUGCUGACACUGAGGCGCGACAGCGUGGGGAGCAAACAGG